GAUGAACGCUAGCUACAGGCUUAACACAUGCAAGUCGUGGGGCAGCGGAUGCUUAGCUUGCUAAGUAUGCCGGCGACCGGCGCACGGGUGAGUAACGCGUACCGAACCUGCCCAUCACACAGGGAUAGGCUUGCGAAAGCAAGAUUAAUACCUGAUGGUCUCAAUUUUAUGCAUGUAUGAUUGAGUAAAGCCUUCGGGCGGUGAUGGAUGGCGGUGCGUCCCAUUAGGAAGUUGGCGGGGUAACGGCCCACCAAUCCUUCGAUGGGUAGGGGUUCUGAGAGGAAGGUCCCCCACAUUGGAACUGAGAUACGGUCCAAACUCCUACGGGAGGCAGCAGUGAGGAAUAUUGGUCAAUGGGCGGGAGCCUGAACCAGCCAAGUAGCGUGCGGGAUGAAGGCCCUUGUGGUCGCAAACCGCUUUUAUCAGUGAAUAAAGUGCACCACGUGUGGUGUCAUUGCAGGUAGCUGAAGAAAAAGGACCGGCUAAUUCCGUGCCAGCAGCCGCGGUAAUACGGAAGGUCCGGGCGUUAUCCGGAAUUAUUGGGUUUAAAGGGAGCGCAGGCGGGAGUGUAAGUCAGCUGUUAAAUAUCAGGGCCCAACUCUGUUAUGCAGUUGAAACUAUAUUUCUUGAGUACGCACAGGGAUGGCGGAAUUCAGGGUGUAGCGGUGAAAUGCUUAGAUAUCCUGAAGAACUCCGAUCGCGAAGGCAGCCAUCCGGAGCGUAACUGACGCUGAGGCUCGAAGGUGCGGGUAUCGAACAGG
rnacentral:rRNA from 1 species